CCUACGGGUGGCAGCAGUAGGGAAUAUUGCUCAAUGGGGGAAACCCUGAAGCAGCAACGCCGCGUGGAGGAUGAAGGUUUUCGGAUUGUAAACUACUGUCCCCAGGGACGAAGAUGACGGUACCUGGGGAGGAAGCUCCGGCUAACUACGUGCCAGCAGCCGCGGUAAUACGUAGGGAGCGAGCGUUGUCCGGAAUUACUGGGUGUAAAGGGAGCGUAGGCGGGGAUGCAAGUUGGGUGUCAAAUCUACCGGCUCAACUGGUAGUCGCACUCAAAACUGCAGCUCUUGAGUGAAGUAGAGGCAGGCGGAAUUCCUAGUGUAGCGGUGAAAUGCGUAGAUAUUAGGAGGAACACCAGUGGCGAAGGCGGCCUGCUGGGCUUUUACUGACGCUGAGGCUCGAAAGUGUGGGGAGCAAACAGGAUUAGAUACCCUGGUAGUC
rnacentral:rRNA from 1 species